GAUGAACGCUGGCGGCGUGCCUAAUACAUGCAAGUAGAACGCUGAAGGAAGGAGCUUGCUCUUUCCGGAUGAGUUGCGAACGGGUGAGUAACGCGUAGGUAACCUGCCUGGUAGCGGGGGAUAACUAUUGGAAACGAUAGCUAAUACCGCAUAACAGUAGAUGUUGCAUGAUAUCUACUUAAAAGGUGCAAUUGCACCACUACCAGAUGGACCUGCGUUGUAUUAGCUAGUUGGUGAGGUAACGGCUCACCAAGGCGACGAUACAUAGCCGACCUGAGAGGGUGAUCGGCCACACUGGGACUGAGACACGGCCCAGACUCCUACGGGAGGCAGCAGUAGGGAAUCUUCGGCAAUGGACGGAAGUCUGACCGAGCAACGCCGCGUGAGUGAAGAAGGUUUUCGGAUCGUAAAGCUCUGUUGUAAGAGAAGAACGAGUGUGAGAGUGGAAAGUUCACACUGUGACGGUAUCUUACCAGAAAGGGACGGCUAACUACGU
rnacentral:rRNA from 1 species